rnacentral:rRNA from 1 species
UACGAAGGGGCUAGCGUUGCUCGGAAUGACUGGGCGUAAAGGGCGCGUAGGCGGAUGGCACAGUCAGAUGUGAAAUUCCCGGGCUUAACCUGGGGGCUGCAUUUGAUACGUGUGAUCUAGAGUGAGGAAGAGGGUCGUGGAAUUCCCAGUGUAGGAGGUAGAAAGUGUAGAUAUUGGGGAAGAACACCGGUGGCGAAGGCGGCGACCUGGUCCUUGACUGACGCUGAGGCGCGAAAGCGUGGGGAGCAAACAGG